rnacentral:tRNA from 1 species
GGAAUAUAGCUCAGUGGUAGUGUGCCUGCCUUGCACAAUGAGGCCCUGGGUUUGAUCCCCAGUACCA